ACCAGUCCCCUCGCCGCCACCCACCUCUGCCACACCUCCCCUCCCCACCUCAGAUCCUCUCCCCUCUCCCCACUCCCAGAUCCAACUUCCCACCGCCACCUCCGGCACCCAAUCCCGGCGACCUAAGGCGGGAUUCUACGGCGCCCAGCACACCUACACUCGUCACCGGCCAUAGAGGCGGUGGCCCUCUCCGCCGGCGACGUGCCGACCAUGAACGCGGUCCUCGCCAACUCGCUCAGCGCCGACGAGGCGACGCGGCACCCCGCGGAGUACAUCUACAACAGCCCCGCCAUGGAUGGCCUCUUUAGGAGCUCCUGCCGCCGUUACAGUUCGUCCGCGUCGCCGCCACGCGGACCACCCCUGCGCCUCUGCCGCCCCACCAUCUAAGCAACGGCGCCCGCUCGUCCUCUGAUUCGGGCGACGGGACAUGCGCCGCCCCUCGUUGACCUCCAGCGAGCUCCAAGUCCCACGAUCCACGACAGCCAGCCCCGCCCCUCCAAGUCCCACGAUCCACGACAUCCAGCCAGCCACGUUCCACUCGUCGUCGACCUGCCCCGCAACUAGCAAGCCCUCAUCGUCGUCAUCAUGGCCGGGCCGCCUGUUGAAGGAGUUCAUUCUGGGCAGCCGGAGGCGUACGAGUUCAAGAUCGGCGACAAGUUUUUUCGGAGGUCCGGAGACCCACCCUUGGACCAAGUUAUCGAGAUGCUAUAGAAGCACAAGGAUAAGUCUCAAGAUGAAAUCUAGCUAGCUGGCUAUAGUAUGCCUUAUGCUCUUGUUGAUUUAUUUCUUUUGCGCUCUUUUGCAGUUCUAAAUUGAUGAGUGAGUGAUCUGGUAGCAGCUAGCUAACUGCCUCUAGAUUGUAACCCUGUUAUGGGAUGUGUGGUUGCGCAUGCGUUCUGCAUGUCAAAUGUGUUCUCUGUUGUCACACUUCGUAUGCGAUGUUGUUCAUAGUUUUUAUAUUUGUUGUCA